AAACAAUCAGCUGAAUAAGGCCUUGGCUGCUCCUGUCCAAAUGCAGGAUAAAGUGCAAUUGGCUUGCCUGCGCGUGAGUGUUGCCCCCCUGGCUCCUUGCCAGCUUGGCUUGCAGCAGGUGGAGGAGUGGGAGCACGGCAUCGUCCGACAUCGACUCAACUAGCUGUGAAUCAAUGGGGCCAGAGCUGGUAGACGCCUCAUGGGCAGGCCCCUCUGCAGGCGGCUUGGUUGCUUGAGGCUGCUGAGGAGGUGGCGGAGCCGCACGCUCGAGCUG
rnacentral:lncRNA from 1 species